rnacentral:rRNA from 1 species
AUUGAACGCUAGCGGCAUGCCUUACACAUGCAAGUCGAACGGUGUGGCGAACGGGUGAGUAAUGUAUCGGUACGUGCCCAGUCGCGGGGGAUAACUACGCGAAAGCGUAGCUAAUCCCGCAUACUUUUGGAGCGGCCGAUAUCGGAUUAGCGAGUGGGUGGGGUAACGGCGCACCAAGGCGACGAUCCAUAGCUGGUUUGAGAGGACGACCAGCCACACUGGGACUGAGACACGGCCCAGACUCCUACGGGAGGCAGCAGUGGGGAAUUUUGGACAAUGGGGGAAACCCUGAUCCAGCCAUCCCGCGUGUGCGAUGAAGGCCUGCGGGUUGUAAAGCACUGUUGGCAGGAAAGCGGUACCUGCAGAAGAAGCACCGGCUAACUACGUGCCAGCCGCCGCGGUAAUUC